rnacentral:misc_RNA from 1 species
UAAAAAAAAUUAAUAAUCUUAAGAAAAAUUAACAAGGUUUAAAAAGUUUACUGUGGCCUAAAAAGAAUACUGGAGGCCUUAAACAAAACCAAAGACUCAUUAGUCAUUACUAAAAGAUGUACCUUAGUUUACAAUUAAGGUUGGCAUUCUUGAUAGGUGUCCUAUUGAUUUUUAUCUUACAGGUCUGAACUGUACCAGGGAAAUGAUAGCAAAAAUUUGAUGCUUUCCAAAUUCUAGUUCAAAUGAAAAUCAUUUAUCAGUUUAACCUUGCAUAUACCUUUUUCAAUCAUUUAGUGGUUUGCAAUGGCUUCUGUCUCAUAACAGCUUAACAAAGAAUCCCAUUUUGUGUAUUUUUUUUACUCUACAAAUAGCAAGAGUAACUGUCAUCAUGCUAAGAACAUUGCAAGGGUCCUAAGCUGCUUCCUAGUCAGGUAUAAGUUCUGUUAUAUUAUUUUUUUCACUUAUGCAAAUGAUUACAGCGCUAUGAACACACAUACUUCCAAAGGAUCAUA